AUGUACAUUCUUACAACAUAGCGUUGAUUCAUUGGAUCCCAUUAGAGCUCCAUAGUGAAGCGCGCUCUAGCUAGAGUAGUACUGGGAUGAUGACUGCCUGGGAAUUCCUAGUAUUUUACAUG
rnacentral:rRNA from 1 species